CUUCCGUCACUCCAGAAGAGCUCGGAGCUGCAGCCCUUCGGACUCCCGCUUCCGCCAGCAAACUUCAGGUCUUUUAAAAGGUCUCUCACUGUUGUGGCCUCUCCCAUUGCAGAGCACAGGCUCCGGAUGCGCAGGCUCAGUGGCCAUGGCUCAUGGGCCUAGGCACGCCGUGGCAUGUGGGAUCCUCCCGGACCAGGGCACGAACCCAUGUCCUCUGCAUCAGCAAGCAGACUCUCAACCACUGCACUACCAGGGAAGCCUGAGAGUAAAUCUUAAAUGUUCUCACAACAGAAAAGAAAUGCCACGUGGCUGACAGGGUCUUGGUGCUCCUGCCUGGUGUCAGGACUGAGCCUCUGAGGUGGAAGAGCCGAGUUCAGGACACUGCACCACCAGAGACCUCCCAGCCCCACGUAAUAUCAGUUGGCAAAGAGCUCUCCCAAAAACCUCCAUCUCAAUGCUAAGCCCAAUGCCAAACAACUGGCAAGACAGGAACACAACCCUACCCAUUAGCAGAGAGGCUGCCUAAAAUCACACUAAGUUCACAGACACCCCAAAACACACCACUGGAUGUGGCCCUGCCCACCAGAAAGACAAGAUCCAGCUGCGCCCAACAGAACACAGGCACCAGUCCCCUCCGCCAGGAAGCCUACACAACCCACUGAACCAACCUUAGCCACUGGGGGCAGACACCAAAAACAAUGGGAACUACGUACCUGCAGCCUGCGAAAAGGAGACC